rnacentral:lncRNA from 10 species
GGCUUUGGGGAGGUGCUGGGCUCGGCGUCCUUUGAAGAGUCUUGUAUUAGUCCGUUUUCACACUGCUGAUAAUGACAUACCCAAGACUGGGUAAUUUAUGAAGAGAAAGAGGUUUAAGGGACAGACAGUUCCACGUGGCUGGGGAGGCCUCACAAUCCUGGUGAAAGGCGAAAGGCACGUCUUACGUGGCAGCAGACAAAACAGAAUGAGAGUCAAGCGAGAGGAGUUUCCGCUUUUAAAACCAUCAGAUCUCAGGACUUACUCACUACCAUGAGAACGCUAUGGGCAAACCGCCCCCACGAUUCAAUUAUCUCCCACUGGGUCCCUCCCACAACACAUGGGAAUUAUGGGAGCUGCAAUUCAAGAUGAGAUUUGUGUGGGGACACAGCCAAACCAUUUCCACUCUCAUUCUCCCCUCUCCUGACUUGGUCUCCCUGACUCUUUUUCUUUUUAUGCCACCCAGGUCCUUCCUGCUGUUGAACGCGUCAUUUCAUGCAGGCUUCGUGGACUGGGCUCACCUUUAGGCAGUGUUUUCAGGUGGGCGGUGGGAAGGCCGCACGCCCUCCGCCUGUCCGGAGUGUCUCGCUAUUGCUGUCUCGGCUGGCGCGUGGGUACUGGCGCGUAACCCGGCACCACAGACUGGCAGCUUCAACAGCAGAAACGUACUUUCCCCCAGCUCUGGAGGCUGGAAGUCUGAGAUCAGGGGUUGUCAGGGUUGGUUUCUGUCUCCCUGGCUCGCACGCGCCGUCUUCUCCACGUGUCCUCACAGGGCUGCCCCUCUGUGCGUAUCUGUGUCUUCAUCUCCUCUUCCUAUAAGGACACGUGUCAGAUGGGAUUAGGGUCACCCAUGUGACCUCACUUCGUAUUAAUCUCCCCUAUCGAGUCCCUGUCUCCAAACACGGUCACAUUCUGAAUUCCUGGGUCACCGUGAACGCUGGAGAUGGGGAGAGGUGGCAGGGGGGAUUAGUGUGAUGGCCCUCCAGGACCCCAAGCCCCAUGGUGGGUGGACCUCAGGCACGGGGUCCCUUUAGGGGCAGGGGGCCUAAGGCGGCAUUGAGUGGUGGGUUUCACCCCAUUUCCCCAGCCUAGCUUGCCUGUCCACCUGCGGGAGUGGCGGCGGUGUGAGCUGUGGUCUCUGUUGAUUGCAGGGAUUCUGGUGGUGGGUCGGCGGGGUCUGUGUGAGGGCCACUUGACAUGCCUCUUUAAACCAGAAGUGUUUUCCUAAACUCCUGGGGUUUGCGCCCCACAUGUUUCUUUUGUCUGACUUUAAGAAAUGGCAUUCGCGGUUGAAGCUACAGAUUGAUGCCCAGUGACAGUUUGGGCUCUGUCUCGUUUGCUACGUAGUAUGCUUAUAUUUAUUUUAGUACAAACGAUACGUCAUUGUAUGUCCUCUUUGCUCCCUUACUUUUAUAUUUCUAAGCAGUUGGCUUCUUUGUUUAAACUUUUAUGAUUUGUAGCUCCAUUGCAUUACGAGAAAGCAAGAGUGGUGUAAAUUUUGCAUUUUAAAUAUUUACUUAGAUUUACUUUGCGUCUAAAUGGUUGCAGUAGGCAUCCCUGUGCCAGGCGCUCCUGCAACGCCAAAGCCCUGCUCAUCUUGUCUUCCCACCCCUCGCUGGACUCAUGUAUUAUGGCCUUCAGAGUGGACCUAAUCCCUUCC